UGUGAAUAUGUGGCGAGCUGCCGGGGGAAGACGGAGGGGGCGAGAGUGAAUCGGAAUGAAGGGGCGUAAAGGGUGCGAUGUGGGUGGUGGAAGACAGAUGUGGAGUCCCCGGGCUUAAGCGGGGAAUUGCAGUGGUGACUGAAGGGCUAGGGUGUGUCAGAGGGGGGUAGAAGUCCACGUGUAGCAGUGGAAUGCGUAGAUAUGUGGAGGAAUACCGAUGGCGAAGGCAGCCCCCUGGGAUAACACUGACGCUCAGGCACGAAAGCGUGGGGAGCAAACAGGAUUAGACACCCGGUAGUC
rnacentral:rRNA from 1 species